rnacentral:rRNA from 1 species
CUAAUCAAACUUGGUGAUAGCUGGUUCUCCCCGAAAUAGCUUUAGGGCUAGCCUUGCGUAUGUAGUCGUCGGAGGUAGAGCACUGGUUGGACUAGCGGGCCUACCAGCUUAGCAAACCCAGUCAAACUUCGAAUGCCGACGAUGUAAUCGCAGGAGUCAGUCUGCGGGGGAUAAGCUCCGUGGACGAGAGGGAAACAGCCCAGACCGCCGACUAAGGUCCCUAAAUUCAAGCUAAGUGGCAAAGGAUGUGAGACUGCCCAGACAGCCAGGAGGUUGGCAUAGAAGCCGUCACCCUUUAAAGAGUGCGUAACAGCUCACUGGUCGAGCGGUCUUGCGCCGAAGAUUUCCGGGGCUCAAGCUUGAUACCGAAGUCGCGGAUUGAACAUAAUGUUCAGUGGUAGGGGAGCGUUCUGCGCUGGCAGAAGGUCGACCGUAAGGGCGGCUGGACGGCGCAGAAGUGAUGAUGCCGGCAUGAGUAGCGAUAAAGCAGGUGAGAAUCCUGCUCGCCGAAAGCCUAAGGUUUCCGAUGCAAGGCAAUUCCGCAUCGGGUUAGUCGGGUCCUAAGUCGAGGCCGAAAGGCGUAGACGAUGGCAACACGGUCAUUAUUCCGUGACCUGCGCGUGAGGAUGAUUGAUUGGGGACGCGGGCGUGAAACCCUCAGAAGGGACUGGAGCCGGAGGCCGCGUUUAACAAAACAAAGCCGCGAGGGCGGAUCGUUCGCCAAGAAAAGCCAUAUCAUGACGACCGCGCAGCCCGUACCGUAAACCGACACAGGUAGGCGAGGAGAGAAUCCUAAGGCGCUCGAGAGAAUUCCCGUUAAGGAACUCGGCAAAAUGACCCCGUAACUUCGGGAGAAGGGGAGCCGUCUUCAGACGGCCGCAGAGAAAUGGCCCCGGCGACUGUUUACUAAAAACACAGGUCUGUGCUAAGUCGUAAGACGACGUAUACGGACUGACACCUGCCCAGUGCCAUGGCGUGAAGGGAUCUGGUUAGCCUCUUCGGAGGCGAAGCUUGAGAACAGAAGCCCAGGUAAACGGCGGCGGUAACUGUAACCGUCCUAAGGUAGCGAAAUUCAUCGUCGGGUAAGAUCCGACCUGCACGAAUGGUGUAACGACUGGGGCGCUGUCUCGACGGGAUACUCGGCGAAAUUGUAAUACCGGUGAAGAUGCCGGUUACCCACAGCAGGACGGAAAGACCCCGUGAACCUUCACUGCAACCUGGCAUUGGGCUUUGGCAUCAUCUAUCCAGGAUAGGUGGGAGGCUUUGAAGCGGCUGCGCCAGCAGCCGUGGAGCCGCCCUUGGGAUACCACCUUGGUGAUGAUGAAUCUCUAACCUGCGCCCGUGAAUCCGGGCGAGGGACCGUGUCAGGCGGGUAGUUUGAUUGGGGCGAUCGGCUCCUAAAAGGUAACGGAGCCGCCCAAAGGUUCCCUCAGUACGGUUGGUAAUCGUGCGGCGAGCGCAAAGGCAUAAGGGAGCUUAACUGCGAGACCUACAAGUCAAGCAGGUGCGAAAGCAGGGCUUAGUGAUCCUACGGCCCCGAGUGGAAGGGCCGUGGCUAAUCGGAUAAAAGGUACUCCGGGGAUAACAGGCUAAUCGCGUCCGAGAGUUCGUAUUGACGACGCGGUUUGGCACCUCGAUGUCGGCUCAUCACAUCCUGGGGCUGCAAAAUGGUCCCAAGGGUUGGGCUGCUCUCCCAUUAAAGUUGGUACGUGAGCUGGGUUUAGAACGACGCGAGUCAGUUCGGUCCCUAUCCGCUGUGGGCGCAGGAGAUUUGAGGGAAGCUGUCCUAAGUACGACAGGACCUGGAUGGACGAACCUCUAGUGUACCAGUCGUCUCGCCAGAGGCGCCGCUGGGUAGCUACGUUCGGAAGGGAUAAACGCUGAAAGCAUCUCAAGCGUGAAGCCCCUCCCAAGAUAAGAUCUCCCACAGGGUUAACCUGGUAAGACUCCUUCAAGAACAGGAGGUUGAUAGACCAGAGGUGUAAGCGCAGCAAUGUGUUGAGCUGACUGGCACUAAUCGUCGAGGGCUUGGCUAC